rnacentral:pre_miRNA from 1 species
UAAUCAGUUUUCCUCGGCAGUUAACUGCAGCCGGAUUUCAAAUUCCUCGACAGUUAACUGCCGAGGGG